GUGCUUGCUUUGGCAGCACAUACACUAAAAUUGGAAUGGUGCAGAGAUUACCAUGGUCCCCGUAUAAGGAUGACAUGCAAAUUCAUAAAGCAUUCCAUAUUUAA
ensembl:snRNA U6 U6 spliceosomal RNA